GACGAACGCUGGCGGCGUGCUUAACACAUGCAAGUCGAACGGAAAGGCCCUGCUUGCAGGGUGCUCGAGUGGCGAACGGGUGAGUAACACGUGGGUGAUCUGCCCCUUACUUUGGGAUAAGCUUGGGAAACUGGGUCUAAUACUGGAUAGGACCAUGCUGUAGGUGGUGUGGUGGAAAGAUUAGUUUCGGUAAGGGAUGAGCUCGCGGCCUAUCAGCUUGUUGGUGGGGUAAUGGCCUACCAAGGCGUCGACGGGUAGCCGGCCUGAGAGGGUGGACGGCCACAUUGGGACUGAGAUACGGCCCAGACUCCUACGGGAGGCAGCAGUGGGGAAUAUUGCACAAUGGGCGCAAGCCUGAUGCAGCGACGCCGCGUGGGGGAUGACGGCCUUCGGGUUGUAAACUCCUUUCAGCCAUGACGAAGCCCUUGUGGUGACGGUAGUGGUAGAAGAAGCACCGGCUAACUACGUG
rnacentral:rRNA from 1 species